rnacentral:rRNA from 1 species
CCUACGGGUGGCAGCAGUGAGGAAUAUUGGUCAAUGGACGAGAGUCUGAACCAGCCAAGUAGCGUGAAGGAUGACUGCCCUAUGGGUUGUAAACUUCUUUUAUAUGGGAAUAAAACAGGGUAUGCAUACCCUCUUGUAUGUACCAUAUGAAUAAGGAUCGGCUAACUCCGUGCCAGCAGCCGCGGUAAUACGGAGGAUCCGAGCGUUAUCCGGAUUUAUUGGGUUUAAAGGGAGCGUAGGUGGAUUGUUAAGUCAGUUGUGAAAGUUUGCGGCUCAACCGUAAAAUUGCAGUUGAAACUGGCAGUCGUGAGUACAGUAGAGGUGGGCGGAAUUCGUGGUGUAGCGGUGAAAUGCUUAGAUAUCACGAAGAACUCCGAUUGCGAAGGCAGCCUGCUGGACAGUAACUGACGUUGAGGCUCGAAAGCGUGGGGAGCAAACAGGAUUAGAGACCCCUGUAGUC